GAUGAAGAACGUAGCGAAAUGCGAUACGUAAUGUGAAUUGCAAAUUCAGUGAAUCAUCGAGUCUUUGAACGCACAUUGCGCCCCCUGGUAUUCCGGGGGGCAUGCCUGUCCGAGCGUCAUUGCUGCCCUCAAGCACGGCUUGUGUGUUGGGCCCCGUCCUCCGAUUCCGGAGGACGGGCCCGAAAGGCAGCGGCGGCACCGCGUCCGGUCCUCGAGCGUAUGGGGCUUUGUCACCCGCUCUGUAGGCCCGGCCGGCGCUUGCCGAUCAACCCAAAUUUUUAUCCAGGUUGACCUCGGAUCAGGUAGGGAUACCCGCUGAACUUAAGCAUAUCAAUAAGCGGAGGA
rnacentral:misc_RNA from 1 species